rnacentral:tRNA from 1 species
GAGGGUAUAGUUCAGUGGUGGAGUGCAUGCUUCACAUGCAAAGGUCCUGGGUUCAAACCCCAGUAUCUCCA